rnacentral:tRNA from 1 species
GCCUGCUUGGUGGAAUUGGUAGACACAACAGACUUAAAAUCUGUCGCCUUACCAGGCGUGCCAGUUCGACUCUGGCAGCGGGCACCA